rnacentral:ncRNA from 1 species
AACACAGGUUUUGGGGCCCCUGGUACAGGCAGGCCAGGGAAUCCCCACUCUUACACAGGCAGGCUGAACCCCAGCCGCCACGACCCCGAGGGGUUGCAUGCAGGACGGCGCCGCCCCGGGCGGCCAGGUUUCAGGGGGCCUUGGUACAGGCAGGCCGGGGAAUCCCCUCUUUUAUCCACAGGCG